AUUGAACGCUGGCGGCAGGCCUAACACAUGCAAGUCGAACGGUAACAGGAAGAAGCUUGCUUCUUUGCUGACGAGUGGCGGACGGGUGAGUAAUGUCUGGGAAACUGCCUGCUGGAGGGGGAUAACUACUGGAAACGGUAGCUAAUACCGCAUAACGUCGCAAGACCAAAAAGGGGGACCUUCGGGCCUCUUGCCAUCGGAUGUGCCCAGAUGGGAUUAGCUAGGAGGUGGGGUAACGGCUCACCUAGGCGACGAUCCGUAGCUGGUCUGAGAGGAUGACCAGCCACACUGGAACUGAGACACGGUCCAGACUCCUACGGGAGGCAGCAGUGGGGAAUAUUGCACAAUGGGCGCAAGCCUGAUGCAGCCAUGCCGCGUGUAUGAAGAAGGCCUUCGGGUUGUAAAGUACUUUCAGCGGGGAGGAAGGGAGUAAAGUUAAUACCUUUGCUCAUUGACGUUACCCGCAGAAGAAGCACCGGCUAACUCCGUG
rnacentral:rRNA from 1 species